rnacentral:ncRNA from 1 species
GGAGUGCCCAGCGCUUAAACGCGCGGGCUGAGACCGUUAAUUCGGGAUCCGCGGAACCUGAUCAGGCUAAUACCUGCGAAGGGAACAAGAGU